ensembl:processed_transcript
CCGGGCAGACGAACGUGGAAAGCACAUUGAGGAGGAGAAGAUGGUGGCUUUGUCAGAUUGCUGCUGAAUUCAGUUGAAUCACUUCUGUCCCACUAAUUCAAACAUGUCAAAACUGGAUAGUUACUCCAGCAAGCUGGCCAGCAUCUCCCGUAGAGAAGGAGGAAUUGCAUAGAGGGCAUAAUAUUUGGAAAGUGAUGGCUACCAUUGAUGAGAAUGAUUCCAUCUCAACUCGGAGAGCUUGCAUUCUCAGAGAAUUUUCUGUGUAUCUUAAUGAAGAUUAUGAAAACCUCAUGAAGGAGUAUACUACUUUGAAAAUUCUGAGAGAGAGAGAGAGAGAGAGAGAGAGACAUGGCCAAUACUCUCAUUUGUAAUCUACAUCGUCAGACCUGAAGGUGCAGAAGCCUGUGACCCACCAUCAGGUGAUUGUUGAGGGAGUGAAAGUGCUUCAGAACCUUGGCGAUGUCACCAAGGCUUGUGCUCUUUUUUUGGGAGUCAUAUACAGCUUGAGUCUCAGUUAUCCUUCAAACCUGAAAUACACCUGAGUUUUUCCAGAAAGUGUUGCUGGGACUUGAAGAAAUUAAGAACAAACUUGGCUGAAUCAGUACAUCAUUCUGGACAAAUGAAAAAAAACAGAGGAAGAAGCUUUUUUGUGACAUUUAAAUUGUUUCUAGUUUUAAAAUUAAUGUGAUGUUAUCUUUGUUGAUGGCACCAAAGUUUUAAAUGAAGUUCUGCAACUAUAAAUGGCUAAAUGGUUUGGUUAUUUACAAAGAUUAGAGGUCAGUUUUAAUAUUUUCUUAACUAAUGGCUCGAACGAUUUCAGAUAUCCAAAAUUGAACACUGUAGCAGUUUGUGUCAUGCCGCCUGCCUUAAACUUUGCUUUUCUCUUUCCAAGUAAAAUGUAUUGUUUUCAG